GAACGCUGGCGGCAGGCCUAACACAUGCAAGUCGAGCGGUAACAGAAAGUAGCUUGCUACUUUGCUGACGAGCGGCGGACGGGUGAGUAAUGCUUGGGAACAUGCCUUUAGGUGGGGGACAACAGUUGGAAACGACUGCUAAUACCGCAUGAUGUCUACGGACCAAAGGGGGCUUCGGCUCUCGCCUAAAGAUUGGCCCAAGUGGGAUUAGCUAGUUGGUGAGGUAAUGGCUCACCAAGGCAACGAUCCCUAGCUGGUUUGAGAGGAUGAUCAGCCACACUGGAACUGAGACACGGUCCAGACUCCUACGGGAGGCAGCAGUGGGGAAUAUUGCACAAUGGGCGCAAGCCUGAUGCAGCCAUGCCGCGUGUGUGAAGAAGGCCUUCGGGUUGUAAAGCACUUUCAGUCAGGAGGAAAGGUUAGUKGUUAAUACCUGCUAGCUGUGACGUUACUGACAGAAGAAGCACCGGCUAACUCCGUGCCAGCAGCCGCGA
rnacentral:rRNA from 1 species